rnacentral:tRNA from 1 species
GGGCUCGUGGUCUAGGAUGGAUAUGACACCACCCUGCGGAGGUGGAGGCCCCGGGUUCAAAUCCCGGCGAGCCCGCCA